UACGGAGGGUGCAAGCGUUGUUCGGAAUUAUUGGGCGUAAAGCGCGUGUAGGCGGUUUGUUAAGUCUGAUGUGAAAGCCCUGGGCUCAACCUGGGAAGUGCAUUGGAAACUGGCGGACUUGAAUACGGGAGAGGGUAGUGGAAUUCCGAGUGUAGGAGUGAAAUCCGUAGAUAUUCGGAGGAACACCGGUGGCGAAGGCGGCUACCUGGACCGAUAUUGACGCUGAGACGCGAAAGCGUGGGUAGCAAACAGGAUUAGAUACCCUGGUAGUCCACGCCGUAAACGAUGAGUACUAGGUGUUGCGGGUAUUGACCCCUGCAGUGCCGCAGCUAACGCAUUAAGUACUCCGCCUGGGAAGUACGGUCGCAAGACUAAA
rnacentral:rRNA from 1 species